rnacentral:rRNA from 1 species
CAGUAGCCAGGGAAUACGAAGGGUGCAAGCGUUACUCGGAAUUACUGGGCGUAAAGCGUGCGUAGGUGGUGGUUUAAGUCCGUUGUGAAAGCCCUGGGCUCAACCUGGGAAUUGCAGUGGAUACUGGGUCACUAGAGUGUGGUAGAGGAUAGUGGAAUUUCCGGUGUAGCAGUGAAAUGCGUAGAGAUCGGAAGGAACAUCUGUGGCGAAGGCGACUAUCUGGGCCAACACUGACACUGAGGCACGAAAGCGUGGGGAGCAAACAGGAUUAGAUACCCCUGUAGUCCCUGUCUCUUAUACC